rnacentral:rRNA from 1 species
AUACGUAGGGAGCGAGCGUUGUCCGGAAUUACUGGGUGUAAAGGGAGCGUAGGCGGGACUGCAAGUCAGAUGUGAAAAACCGGGGCUUAACCCCGGAGCUGCAUUUGAAACUGUGGUUCUUGAGUGAAGUAGAGGCACGCGGAAUUCCUGGUGUAGCGGUGAAAUGCGUAGAUAUCAGGAGGAACACCGGUGGCGAAGGCGGCUUGCUGGGCUUUUACUGACGCUGAGGCUCGAAAGCGUGGGUAGCAAACAGGAUUAGAUACCCUGGUAGUCCACGCUGUAAACGAUGAUUACUAGGUGUGGGGGGACUGACCCCUUCCGUGCCGCAGUUAACACAAUAAGUAAUCCACCUGGGGAGUACGGCCGCAAGGUUGAAACUCAAAGGAAUUGACGGGG